rnacentral:rRNA from 1 species
UGGGGAAUAUUGGACAAUGGGGGCAACCCUGAUCCAGCAAUACCGCGUGUGUGAAGAAGGCCUUAGGGUUGUAAAGCACUUUAGUUGGGGAGGAAGGACAGUAUUUUAAGAGAUAGCUGUUUUGACUGUACCCAAAGAAUAAGCACCGGCUAACUCUGUGCCAGCAGCCGCGGUAAUACAGAGGGUGCGAGCGUUAAUCAGAAUUACUGGGCGUAAAGGGCGCGUAGGCGGAUUUAUAAGUUAGAUGUGAAAUCCCUGGGCUUAACCUAGGAACUGCAUCUAAUACUGUAAGUCUAGAGUGCAGUAGAGGGUAGUGGAAUUUCCGGUGUAGCGGUGAAAUGCGAAGAUAUCGGAAGGAACACCAGUGGCGAAGGCGGCUACCUGGACUGACACUGACGCUGAGGCGCGAGAGCGUGGGGAGCAAACAGG